rnacentral:lncRNA from 1 species
UGGUGAAAACUAUGUUCAAUUUACAAACUAUAUUUUAGUUUAUCAAAAUAUAUUUUUAUUGAUGUGUUCUGUCUCUGAUUCUUUCUUUUUCAGAUGUGCACUUGUGUCUUAGGCUUAUGCUUUGCAAAAGGUUCACCAUCGCCCUUAAGUUGCUGUGGGUUUUACAGUUUUACUUUCAACCUGGCAUAUAAAUGCACUUAGUAUCUAAAGUUAUUUGUCAAUAACUGGUGAUCAGACUCUCAAACGAACACGUUUUUAAGGGCUGAGAAGGUGAAAGUUAGAAGUCUGCAGACUGCAACGUAAAUCAAUUUUCAACACAUGGUUUCCUGAAUAUAUUUAGUUUUCGAUUGAAAUGUGAAUAAACUGAACUUAUAGAUAUGUUGAAAAUUAACUAUUUUAUAUUUUAAACGUUCGCUAAACGCAAGUGAAGCAAUAA